rnacentral:rRNA from 1 species
AGAGUUUGAUCCUGGCUCAGGAUGAACGCUAGCGGCAGGCCUAACACAUGCAAGUCGAGGGAGGAGCCUUCGGGCUUCGACCGGCGUACGGGUGCGUAACGCGUAUACAAUCUGCCUUUCACAUAGGGAUAGCCCGAAGAAAUUUGGAUUAAUACCUAAUGGUAUAUAGGAGUGGCAUCACAUUUAUAUUAAAGCUGAGGCGGUGAAAGAUGAGUAUGCGUUCUAUUAGCUAGUUGGAGAGGUAACGGCUCCCCAAGGCGACGAUAGAUAGGGGUUCUGAGAGGGAUGUCCCCCACACUGGUACUGAGAUACGGACCAGACUCCUACGGGAGGCAGCAGUGAGGAAUAUUGGACAAUGGUCGGAAGACUGAUCCAGCCAUGCCGCGUGCAGGAAGACGGCCUUAUGGGUUGUAAACUGCUUUUGCAGGGGAAGAAUAAGGACUACGAGUAGUUUGAUGACGGUACUCUGCGAAUAAGCAUCGGCUAACUCCGUGCCAGCAGCCGCGGUAAUACGGAGGAUGCGAGCGUUAUCCGGAAUCAUUGGGUUUAAAGGGUCCGUAGGCGGGCUAAUAAGUCAGAGGUGAAAGCGCUCAGCUCAACUGAGCAACUGCCUUUGAAACUGUUAGUCUUGAAUGGUUGUGAAGUAGUUGGAAUGUGUAGUGUAGCGGUGAAAUGCUUAGAUAUUACACAGAACACCGAUAGCGAAGGCAUAUUACUAACAAUUAAUUGACGCUGAUGGACGAAAGCGUGGGGAGCGAACAGGAUUAGAUACCCUGGUAGUCCACGCUGUAAACGAUGGAUACUAGCUGUUUGGUUGCAAGACUGAGUGGCUAAGCGAAAGUGAUAAGUAUCCCACCUGGGGAGUACGCACGCAAGUGUGAAACUCAAAGGAAUUGACGGGGGCCCGCACAAGCGGUGGA